rfam:Trichobilharzia regenti genome assembly, scaffold: TRE_scaffold0009429
AUCCAGAUGACGAGUCCCAAAUAGGACGAAAUGCUCAUUUUGGAU